UUACGGCCAUAUCACGUUGAAACAACGAUUCUCGCCCGAUCACCGAAGUUAAGCAAUAUCAAGCCUGGUCAGUACCUAGAGGGGCGAGCGCUUGAGAACAACAUGUGCUGUAAG